UAGGGAAUCUUCCGCAAUGGGCGAAAGCCUGAUGGAGCAACGCCGCGUGUGUGAUGAAGGGUUUCGGCUCGUAAAACACUGUUGUAAGAGAAGAAUGACAUUGAGAGUAACUGUUCAAUGUGUGACGGUAUCUUACCAGAAAGGAACGGCUAAAUACGUGCAG
rnacentral:rRNA from 1 species